rnacentral:tmRNA from 1 species
GGGGACGACAGGCUUCGACGUGGACGUUUCGUGAGGGCAGUUGCGAGUCGAGGUCCCCGGUCGGCCUCGUAAAACAACCGGGAAACCAAUAAGUGCGGACUCUCACGAGUACGCCCUCGCUGCCUAGCUCAAACUAGGCGAGUGAGGUGUCGGCCCGCCCUCGGCCCGUGGGGCGGAUGACCGGCAUCAACAACGGGCUCCACCCGCGGCGAGCGCCUCCGGCGCCGCGGGGACACUCAAGGAGGCUGGCUCCCCGAGACCCCGCCGGCGCGGCGACAGGGGAGCGAGAUCAAGAGCGCCGGAUACGCUCGUAGAAGCUGCCCUUUACGCGCCCGCGGACGUGGGUUCGAUUCCCACCGUCUCCACUC